GAACGCACAUUGCGCCCCUUGGUAUUCCGAGGGGCAUGCCUGUUCGAGCGUCAUUACAACCCUCAAGCAAUGCUUGGUGUUGGGCCACGCCGCUAACCCGGCGGGCCCUAAAACCAGUGGCGGUGCCGUCGGGCUCUGAGCGUAGUAAUUCUUCUCGCUAUAGAGCCCCGGCGGAUGCUAGCCAGCAACCCCUAAUUUUCUAUGGUUGACCUCGGAUCAGGUAGGGAUACCCGCUGAACUUAAG
rnacentral:misc_RNA from 1 species